GAAAAAGGCAGACAUUAACAGAACAGGGAGCUCACAGAGUCAGCACUCCCGGGGACAAGACAGCCAGAUUUUCCUUAAAAGGUGACCCCAGGGCUGAAAACCACAGGAGAAGUAGAAUUUUUCUCAACAACAACAUCUUGAGGUCAUAAUGGUCUGAUCCACGGUGCUAAGGAUCUGAAGUGUGAAGUGAGACCUGGUAAAUGCACCCCACUUACCCAAAGUUGGCCAAUUGGGGCAUGCAGACAACUUUCCUUUGGGUCAGGGGUCUCUUGAGUACCGUCCCUUCACGUCACGGGAAAGAAGUUGCUGGAAAGGGAUUCCAAUCCAGACCCCAAGAGAAGGUUCUUGGAUCUGGCACAAGGAAGAAUUCCGGAAUACCUCACCUCCUGGGAAUGCAGCCCAGCAGAUCUCAUCCUUGUUUUACCCAGCAUCUAUUCAAGAUGGAGUUCUCGGGUUCAAAUGCCUCUGACAGUGAUGUCACCUACAGAAGCAAUUGAGGAAGUUAACAAACCUUGUGACUUCCAACUGCAUGGCUCUUAAACAGUGAUUCUAGAAACAAUGGCUGGUUAUCUUUAAAGUACACCUAUAUCUUGGCAGAAUUCAGGCCCCUCCCAAAUCCUAAACUUGUGGACUUCCAUUAGUCUUACAAGGAUGGUUUUGGUCCCCAAGCAAGGAGAGGGUUUGUUUUGGGAAGGGACUGUUAUCAUCUAUGUUUUAAAGUUAAGAAAAGCAGUGAACUUGUGUUAAAAGCAAAAUGGAGUUAACUAUGUCACAUUUCACUAGAGGUCAUUAUUUUUUUUUAUUUCUUAUUUUUGCAAAGGUGGUUUCAAGAAUUUCCCCCUAUCUACAUAAAGUCUCAAAGUACCCACCAAGGAGAAGAAUUAUUUUUCCUUUUCUUCCCUAUUACCUCAUCUGACCAAGAAUGUAACCACACUUUAAUACUCCCUUUCACAAGAUAAUGUCUGGCUGUCAGGCUCAUUCAAGUUCCA
rnacentral:lncRNA from 1 species